UUGGGGAGUGUGGAUGAUAGGUUCGGGUGUAUAAGGUGAGCUUGCUAGGUUAGGCUUUAGUUUUUCUAUAUCCUCAGUCUACUUGUUGUCUUAAUUUUUUUUCUCAUUAAUGGAUUUCCUUUUUUUUCUAAAAAAAUCAACAAAAUCUUACGCAUAGUGUAAUUUAAACUUAAAACACCAUAGUUUUAAACAAGGGCGACAUUGGGGGUUAACAAGUGCCUCGACACCCCUAAAAUGAAAAAUUUUAGUUUUGACCCUUUAAAUUUUAUAAAACUUUAAAUUAGUACAAGAUUAAGUUGCAUUUUAAC
rnacentral:lncRNA from 1 species